UUAGCAACUCUUCUUUUUCACGUUUUAAGAAUUCUCUGUUUUAAUUGCCCCACUUCUACAAUUGAACAACACCUCCCCCAAAAAAAAACUAUCGCUCAUCUCCACGGUUUUAAUUUUUUUCUGCAACUAUGAUAUCCAAUUUUCCUCGACCAUACAUAAUUAUAAUCUUUGCUGAUAUACCAAAAUUUUAGAAUUUUUUUAUUAAAUACAGUUUACAGCGAUGAAGACAUUAAUUUUGGCAUUUGUAUUUUGCGGGAGAAUACAAACAACAAGGAACAAGCUAGGGCAUGUAUAGAUGUGUCUUUAUAGUUAUUAGCGUAUACAAAGAACAAAUUGGACGAUAGAUGUGUCUUUCAAUAAUUUCUUAUUUUUUCCUUACAAUGUUUUUUUUUGUCUUUCUGUAUUUGAUG